UGGGGAAUAUUGGACAAUGGGCGCAAGCCUGAUCCAGCCAUGCCGCGUGUGUGAUGAAGGCCCUAGGGUUGUAAAGUUCUUUCACCGGUGAAGAUAAUGACGGUAACCGGAGAAGAAGCCCCGGCUAACUUCGUGCCAGCAGCCGCGGUAAUACGAAGGGGGCUAGCGUUGUUCGGAUUUACUGGGCGUAAAGCGCACGUAGGCGGACUUUUAAGUCAGGGGUGAAAUCCCGGGGCUCAACCCCGGUACUGCCUUUGAUACUGGAAGUCUUGAGUAUGGUAGAGGUGAGUGGAAUUCCGAGUGUAGAGGUGAAAUUCGUAGAUAUUCGGAGGAACACCAGUGGCGAAGGCGGCUCACUGGACCAUUACUGACGCUGAGGUGCGAAAGCGUGGGGAGCAAACAGG
rnacentral:rRNA from 1 species